CAUUCGGCAUUCAAGCAUAACAAAACAUUCGAGAAGGUGUUUAAUAGAGUUGUUCAUUUCCUCAGGGAUUUCUGUAACUCUUGUAAGCGGAGGUCUUUGAUUUGUCCUGUGGUUUUAGAGUCUAUCAGAAAAGCAGCAAGUUUUGAAAAAAAAUGGUAGACGAGCUCGCAACUUCUGUGGUUCCACCACUGUCAUCAGAAAACGGCUUGGACAAGACAACAACCAUUUUGGCUGCAGUGCUUGCCUCUGCUAUUGUCAUCUUGUGUCUUGCUGGUGCUUUACUCACCUACAUCACACUAACUUCCAGACGGCAAAUCAGACGUGCACAGGAGGAAUUAGAAGAUUUCCAACAGAAAAUAUUGUAUAACAAGGGGAGAAGAAGAUCAGAAAUCUUAGGCAAACACAUUUCUGAUUUUUGUGGAUGUGCCUGCGACCGAAAUCCACCUGGCGUACCAAAAAAUCUUGCGUGUAGCUGCAAUAAAACUUCAGCAACAAACUCCGCUUUUUCGGUGUAGUCGGUGACUGAGUUGGAGCCUGGUGGCUUAAGCAUGCGACACCUUGAAAUUUAUAAAACUAGGUCAAUGGGUUGGUAUUCGAGUUCUUUCCAGAUAGAACAUUAAUUCAAUGGACAUUGCAUAUUAUUAUAUCCAGAACUGUUUGUUGUUUUUUUUUUUUCUACAUAUGUGUUUAAUAUCUUAUUUAAUUAUUAUCAAAGCCAUCAUCGAAAUAAUUUUAAGCCAGGAAUUCAAAGGGGGGGGGGGCUGCGGAAGGACUUUCACAGAUAUAAGGUCCGCCCCCUCAGCCACCAUGGUUGGCGCUGAGGAAAGAAAAAUGUAUGAUUAUGCCACUUAUAAUCAUACUUAAAUUUUUCUCCAUUUUUAAAUAACUUUUUAUGAAUUUGAAUCCGCCACCGUGUGGUUUUAUAUGAUUAAUAUUUUCUUAAUAUUUUGUUAUAUCAUUGAUGUAUUGUAAAUACAAAGUUGUACAUAUAUGAAUACCAAAAUAAAAGAGGAACGAAAA